rnacentral:rRNA from 1 species
ACAGCAGUCCCCGGUAAUACGAAGGGUGCAAGCGUUAAUCGGAAUUACUGGGCGUAAAGCGUGCGUAGGCGGUUUGUUAAGUCUGUUGUGAAAUCCCCGGGCUCAACCUGGGAAUGGCAAUGGAUACUGGCAGGCUAGAGUGUGAUAGAGGAUGGUGGAAUUCCCGGUGUAGCGGUGAAAUGCGUAGAGAUCGGGAGGAACAUCAGUGGCGAAGGCGGCCAUCUGGAUCAACACUGACGCUGAGGCACGAAAGCGGGGGGAGCAAACAGGAUUAGAUACCCCAGUAGUCCCUGUCUCUUAUACAC